rnacentral:misc_RNA from 1 species
GCUUCCUAUUAUAAGUGAUGUUCCUGAAGGAUGUGUUAUAAUAAGGGAGCAUAUUCCUAUUAGCAACCUCUUUACUUGCCUUUGGUUCAACGAAGUUGACCGCUUUACUUCAAGGGACCAAAUCAGCUUUUCCACAGUAAGAGAUAAGAUUCGGGCAAAGACAAAUUGGACUGUGAACAUGUUCAUGGAUCACCUCCAACUUUCUGUUACUACCUGCAGAAGUACCAUAGAGAUGUUUUAGAGCACAUGGCUCCUCCUCCUCCUGCUGUAUAUCCACCACCACUGCC